GACAGGUGCAGGAUGCUCACCUGAUACCCCGUGUGACCUGACAGUGUUGAGGUGGAGGUGUUGAGUGUUACUAGCAGCGUCAGUGUUGCUCCAGACAUCACCAGGGCAGCAUAACUUACCGCUCUCUCUGGAAGCCACAUUGUAAGGAGCAGUGACAGAAAAUGAAGUGGUUGUUAACUGUGGUAGUGCUGGUGGGGAUCACCGGCGUUCACAACCACACAACAUCCUGGAGGAGGUCCAGCACCCACGACCCGUCCGUCAGGUCGUCUUUCCAGGUCAAGGAGGCAGGCCAGGAGGGGGGCCAGGAGGCAGGCCAGGAGGCAGGCCAGGAGGCAGGCCAGGAGGGGUCCAGGAGGGGGUCCAGGAGGGGUACCAGGUGUUCCAGGAAGCAGUGGUUGCAACUGUGUGUACCUUGUGUCCUGCGCUCAGUUCCUG